CGUAAAUAGAGGUGCAGGGUGGUGGUUCCUGCGCCUGUCUGAGACGGGUUCUUCUCUGCCUCGG
rnacentral:ncRNA from 1 species